rnacentral:rRNA from 1 species
AUUGAACGCUGGCGGCAUGCCUUACACAUGCAGGUCGAACGGUAACGGGCCUUCGGGUGCCGACGAGUGGCGAACGGGUGAGUAAUAUAUCGGAACGUACCUUUCAGUGGGGGAUAACGUAGCGAAAGUUACGCUAAUACCGCAUAUUCUGUGCGCAGGAAAGCGGGGGCCCUUCGGGCCUUGCGCUGAUUGAGCGGCCGAUAUCAGAUUAGCUAGUUGGUGAGGUAAAGGCUCACCAAGGCGACGAUCUGUAGCGGGUCGGAGAGGAUGAUCCGCCACACUGGAACUGAGACACGGUCCAGACUCCUACGGGAGGCAGCAGUGGGGAAUUUUGGACAAUGGGGGCAACCCUGAUCCAGCCAUGCCGCGUGAGUGAAGAAGGCCUUCGGGUUGUAAAGCUCUUUCGGCCGGGAAGAAAUCGUAUGGGCUAAUACCCUGUGCGGAUGACGGUACCGGCAUAAGAAGCACCGGCUAACUACGUGCCAGCCGCCGCCUAACAC